rnacentral:lncRNA from 1 species
CUCUCUCUCUCUCUCUCUCUCUCUCUCUCUGCUCUCCCUCCCUCCCUCAGCCCGCGGGAUCCGUGUUUUGCAUCGCUCCCCAAUUUGCAUUUAUUCCUCAGACUUUCCGUGCGGCGCUCCAGCCGUUCUUCUAGCGAGAGGUCGUACAACGGUGGCAGUAUCCACGCGGCCCGCGUUUACAGAACAAUACGCACAGUAGAACCCACUGGAACAUCUGAAUAAUGUUGCCGAAGCUUUCCGAAAGUACAAAUUGAGCGGUUUUUGGGUGUUUUUUUAAAAUCCAUUUGGAUCAAUCGCGUUUGGUUGCGCACCAGACGAGACACGUGCCUUCGAGGUAAACAGACAGCAGGACUGGACAGCCAGAUAGUAGCCUUGGUUAACGUUACAUUGUUUUUCUCCUGCGUUUUAAGCGUGCAUAAGCGGUUAUAACGCCACCAUAGUGGACGUAGACGUCGAGCGGAGGUUCAUUUUGUUUUCGUUUGUGCACCUUGGUUGAUAAUUGAGACGCAGUUGGACAUGUCGGAAGUACUACAAGACAAAAUGAGUCAUUAUGGAAAUGAGGAUGACGAGGGACACCUUUCCUUCACCUGUCGUCUCCAAGACACCAACAACUUCUUCAGCGGCUCGCAGGGGGGAAAACGCCCGCCCAAACUUGGACAGAUAGGCAGAAGCAAACGAGUUGUCGAGGACGAGAACGGUGUUGACGAGGCGCUAAAAAACGGGACAGAGAAAACACAGACAGAGGCUUAAACACAUCAACCCCCGGAAGGACAUAGAUUCUCAUUUUCUAUUUGAUCCAAAGACACUGUAUAUAAGCACUUUUACUCCAUGUGGCAGCAAGCACUUCCUGUCCCAUCUCCUCUCUCUCCCAGUCCUCAUGAUGAUCUCCUGAGACUUAUACUGGCAGGAUGGGGAAGCAGCCGAGAUGGAGACAGACAGAGAGAUGAAGACAGAGGUGGAGACAGAGAGAGUGAUGGAGACAGACAGAGAGAUGAAGACAGAGGUGGAGACAGAGAGAGAGACAGAGAUGAAGAGAGAGGCGGAGAGAGAGAGACAGAGAUGAAGAGAGAGGCAGAGAGAGACGGAUGAAGAGAGAGGCGGAGACAGAGAGAGAGACAGAUACAGAGACAGAGAUAAAGAGAGAGGCAGAGACAGAGAUGAAGACAGAGAUAAAGAGAGAGGCGGAGACAGAGAGAGAGGCGGAGACAGAGAUAAAGACAGAGACAGAGAUAAAGAGAGAGGCAGAGACAGAGAUGAAGACAGAGACAGAGAUGAAGAGAGAGAUAAAGAGAGAGGCGGAGACAGAGAGAGAGGCGGAGACAGAGAUAAAGACAGAGAUAAAGAGAGAGGCAGAGACAGAGAUGAAGACAGAGACAGAGAUGAAGAGAGAGACAGAGAUGAAGACAGAGAUGAAGAGAGAGACAGAGAUGAAGAGAGAGACAGAGAUGAAGAGAGCGACAGAGAUGAAGAGAGAGGCGGAGACAGAGGCCCAGGUGAAAUAGGUGAAUUCUAUCAUCCAGGGUUUAGGCCCACAGAACUCUUCUAAAACAGGAAUGGCCUAAGAGAGCUACUGGGUGAGCAGCAGGCUUUUGCUCCAGCCCUACACUUUUUUUACACUAGUCAACCAUUGGUCGUACAAUCAAAACUCCUAAGCAGGCAGCCAACAAAUGUAGCCGUGUAGAAAGGGUCUUUCACACACCAGAUUCAGCCAAUCAAGUUCCUGGGUAGCAGGUGAUUAGUAGAAUCAGGUGUGUUUACAGUAUGUUUGGAGCAGCUAAACCAUGUAACCAGGAGAGGAUGAUGAAGGAGGAAGAGGAUGAAUCUAAGGUUCCAGCGGUAGAAAGAGACGAUGCUUUCGAACCCUCACAGAAAUCAGGGAAGGAACAGUAUAAAAACAGUAUAAAUGAUCUACUUAACUAAAGCACACAUUGUUAUAUCAAUCAAACCGUAUGAUAUUACAUAACCAUUCUUUCUGCUCUUGAUUCUUAUGACGACGAGUGCAAACAAAUAAUAUAGGAAACGUGUAAAUAAGAAAUGGUAGCCCCACGUUUUGUUAGCCUGGACACCAGUCUGUUCCUGCUGUCUUGUCAACUCCUUAUGGAAUUGUCAUGUUUGGCGUCAGAAUGAGUGAUAAAGAGUUGGCAAGACAGCACAAAUAGAUCUGGAAACCAGGCUAGCGUUUUGUUGCACAGAGGAGAAAAGAAGCGUGAAAUGGUUUGUUGUAAUCUAACAUAACGUGUGUGUGUAAAGAUACCUUAUUUAUUGACCCUUUGGAUACGUAUUUUCCAGUGCUCAAGGCCUGACUGAGGGACAGUUUUGUAUGUAGAGAAUUGCGAUGACAGAAUGAAUGAAAGCGAUUUCCCCUUUUUUACUUCUUAUGAAUUUUUAUGUCGCCUGAUCAGUUUUUGCAGCUAUAGAGUCAUUUAUAUACGUUAUACAGGACUGUACAUCACAUGUUUGUAAUGUUCCAAGAGGCUUAAGUCUGGAUCGUUAAAUACAACUGUACACCCUCCCCUAUUGAUAAACUAUUUCUAUUGCAUUGCGCAUUAUCGUGUGUGCCAAAUAUCAUGAGGGAUAAGCAGACCACUUGGUUGUUUAUGUUGUGCUUUCUAUACCGUUAUAAAUGUAGACAUUUUGUUCUUCUUCGGUUGUUGCCAUUGUUCAGGGCUAUUUCUUACCACUGAAUUACCAACGCAUGCAUGGCAGAAAUGGGUGGAUGCAUGGCAGAAAUGGGUUGAUGCAUGGCAGAAAUGGGUUGAUGCAUGGCAGAAAUGGAUUGAUGCAUGGCAACGUUCUAAAGAUGAUCUUAGUGUAUUCUGGAACACCUGGUACCCAGCUUUGAACGACUAACCUCCAGAACCAUCUUAAUACUACAUACCUUGUACUGUACUGUACUGUACUAUGAUCUUACUGAUUUGUACUGUAGCCUAAUAUCUUGUAAUAAAGAUUCUGAAGAAGAUAAUUAAGAA